rnacentral:rRNA from 1 species
UACGGGGGGAGCAAGCGUUGUUCGGAUUUACUGGGCGUAAAGGGCGCGUAGGCGGUCGUGACAAGUCACUUGUGAAAUCUCCGGGCUUAACUCGGAACGGUCAAGUGAUACUGUCGGACUAGAGUACAGAAGGGGCAACUGGAAUUCUCGGUGUAGCGGUGAAAUGCGUAGAUAUCGGGAGGAACACCGAUGGCGAAGGCAGCCCCCUGGGUCAAGAUUGACGCUCAUGCACGAAAGCGUGGGGAGCAAACAGG